AAAUUGAAGAGUUUGAUCAUGGCUCAGAUUGAACGCUGGCGGCAGGCCUAACACAUGCAAGUCGAACGGUAGCACAGAGAGCUUGCUCUCGGGUGACGAGUGGCGGACGGGUGAGUAAUGUCUGGGAAACUGCCUGAUGGAGGGGGAUAACUACUGGAAACGGUGGCUAAUACCGCAUAACGUCGCAAGACCAAAGAGGGGGACCUUCGGGCCUCUUGCCAUCAGAUGUGCCCAGAUGGGAUUAGCUUGUUGGUGAGGUAACGGCUCACCAAGGCGACGAUCCCUAGCUGGUCUGAGAGGAUGACCAGCCACACUGGAACUGAGACACGGUCCAGACUCCUACGGGAGGCAGCAGUGGGGAAUAUUGCACAAUGGGCGCAAGCCUGAUGCAGCCAUGCCGCGUGUAUGAAGAAGGCCUU
rnacentral:rRNA from 4 species